rnacentral:rRNA from 1 species
AACGAACGCUGGCGGCGCGCUUAAUACAUGCAAGUCGAACGAGAAGGUGUAGCAAUACACUUGUAAAGUGGCGAACGGGUGAGGAAUACAUGGGUAACCUACCCUCGAGUGGGGAACAACCAGCCGAAAGGUUGGCUAAUACCGCGUACGCUUCCGGGUCUUCGGAUUCGGAAGGAAAGUCAUACCGUGGGUAUGACGCUCAAGGAUGGGCUCAUGUCCUAUCAGCUUGUUGGUAGGGUAACGGCCUACCAAGGCUUCGACGGGUAGCUGGUCUGAGAGGACGAUCAGCCACACUGGCACUGCGACACGGGCCAGACUCCUACGGGAGGCAGCAGUAAGGAAUAUUGCGCAAUGGGCGAAAGCCUGACGCAGCAACGCCGCGUGAGUGAUGAAGGCCU